AUACGUAGGGGGCUAGCGUUAUCCGGAAUUACUGGGCGUAAAGGGUGCGUAGGUGGUAUCUUAAGUCAGAAGUGAAAGGCUACGGCUCAACCGUAGUAAGCUUUUGAAACUAAGAGACUUGAGUGCAGGAGAGGAGAGUAGAAUUCCUAGUGUAGCGGUGAAAUGCGUAGAUAUUAGGAGGAAUACCAGUUGCGAAGGCGGCUCUCUGGACUGUAACUGACACUGAGGCUCGAAAGCGUGGGGAGCAAACAGGAUUAGAUACCCUGGUAGUCCACGCCGUAAACGAUGGAUACUAGGUGUAGGAGGGCCCAACCUUCUGUGCCGCCGCAAACGCAUUAAGUAUCCCGCCUGGGGAGUACGGUCGCAAGAUUAAA
rnacentral:rRNA from 1 species